rnacentral:rRNA from 1 species
UUAAAUUGAAGAGUUUGAUCAUGGCUCAGAUUGAACGCUGGCGGCAGGCCUAACACAUGCAAGUCGAGCGGAAACGACACUAACAAUCCUUCGGGUGCGUUAAUGGGCGUCGAGCGGCGG